AUAUUUUUAAUUUAUUUUUUAGAAGUGAAACUUGGUGGCAAAAUGCAUAUUCUAAACUAAUGCUGAUUGUGUUUUUCUUUUUUGGAGGAUGAGCAUUUCUUCAUAAAACAGGUGCCCUAAGAAAUAGGAUUUUACAGAGCUUGCUUAAUCCAUAUUUUUACUUAUUUUUCUACACAUGUGGGUUUUAGGAAAGUAGCACCUUGGGAAUUGAGGGGGAAAGCUUAGACUGAGAUUUAUUUCAGCAGAAAGAUUUAAGAGAGAAAAUUGGUAACAACUUGUUAGAAGUAUGACAUCCAAAAGACUGCAACAUAAAUUUGUUUAUACAUUAAUUAUUUUUAACAUAUAUAGCAAUAGGAAGAUAUGCUAAUAUAAUAAAUUUGUUUCCUUAAAUCUGAGUUGAAAAUACAACAAGGAUAUUGGUAUGAAGGAGGAGGCAAGGAAGGCUUGCAGCACAGGCAGGCCAGAUGGCCUGGGUUCAGAUCUCUGCUCACUAUGACCCUGGGCAAAUUACUCUCUAUGCCUGUUUCCUCCUCUGUAAAAUGAAAAUAAUAGGGCGCCUGGGUGGCUCAGUUGGUUAAGCGACUGCCUUCGGCUCAGGUCAUGAUCCUGGAGUCCCUGGAUCGAGUCCCGCAUCGGGCUCCUUGCUCAGCAAGGAGCCUGCUUCUCCCUCUGACCCUCCCCCCUCUCAUGUGCUCUCUGUCUCUCUCAUUCUCUCUGUCUCAAAUAAAUAAAUAAAAUCUUUAAAAAAAAAAAAAAGAAAAUAAUAAUACUAUCUUCCUCAUAGAGGGGUUUUGAAGAUUAAAUGAGUUAAUAAAACUUAGUUGCCUGGUAGACUUUUCAAUAAAUUUAAUCUAUUAUUGCUUUAUUAUCGCAUCCUAAAUGCAGUUUUCUGUUUAUUUUAAUCUUCAUUGCACACAAAAUUCUUAGACACAGAUAGUCUGUGAACUCAAGUUCAUAGAUCAUAGGAAAGGCAGAAGAAUGUAUUGUUUAAAUGUGGAAUCUUGUUUGGGACAUACUUUGCUGCUGGGUACUGUAACACACAUAGUUUGAACGCCAGCCAAUCAUUUAGCAUGGAAUUUAUGUUUCAAACCCUCCCUUAUCACUCAGCAGCCUGCUGUCUUACAGAAUCAUUACUAAAAAGGCUAAAAAAUCACCCACAGCAUAGACUGUCCUAUGGUUUCUAUAUUUGCACUUGGAGAUAAAGUGUGUUUAUACAUAGUGCUUGGGUGUCUUUUUUAUAGCCUACAACACUGGGUAAUGUAUGGCAAUGGAGACUUCCUCCUCUAUAGAAAAUAGACUAUUAAAUUCAUCAUUCUUUAUUUCUUCCCUUAGAUGUUUUGUUUUGUUUUACUAACCUAGUAACAGAUAAAAAUGAAAAGACCAAAAAAGGUCAUCUCAUGCUAGCUUUAACCUUAACCAAAUGGAAAUGGAUUCUUGCUAUUCAUCAUCCUUAAUCCUAUUCAUUCUUCUUAAACAUGACAAGUAUAUUCCAAAGCAAACAAAAAAAACCCUGUUAUAUCAUAAAGAUGUGUGUGUAUAUUAUGGGGUACUCACCAUUCUGUAUAUUUAAUUUAACAAAAAUAUUUGAAACACUCUUAUAAACAGGGAAGUUUCUUAGUAGCUUUAGCUCUAACCAACCUUAUGCCGGGUAGUUACAGCUUCAACCUGACCAUUUGCUUUAUUUUUCCCAGUUGAAAGGAUACGUUUCUAAAAGAUGAGGCAAACUGGGUUUUAGAAUUGUCAUUCUCUAAUGAAAACCUUGCUAUAGAAAGAAAGAAGGAAGAAAAGAAAAAAAAAAAAAGAACUUUUCCUGGCUUUACGGAAUACGUUAUCAAGGCUUUAGGACAAAAAUACAGGAACCUCAGGAAAAUAUAUUGGCUUAUGUUCUUCUUUCUCCUUAAAUGGUCAUUCUUGGUCUUUGGCUAAUCAGAGAAGGGAAGAGGCUACAGGCAGAAUUCCCCUUUCCCUGUGGUAAUAGUUGAGGCAGUUUGAUUUCCAAGGCAAGGCAGGAGUUAUGGAAGAACUUAGAAUAAGGAAAGUCAAACAUGAAUUGAACAGCUUUUGCUGGCUGCUAACCAGCUGAUUGCAGAACUUGAGAAACUCCCAGCAGAAAUGAAGUAACAGGACGUUAACCAGCACCCCAGUCCCUGAGAACUUUGCUUAAGCCACAGCAGCGCAAAAGAAGGUGGGAAUGAGAUCCCGAAAUCAGGGCGGUGAAAGUUCAUCCAAUGGGCAUAUCUCCUGCCCCAAGUCCUCUAUCAUUAGCAACGCUGAUGAUAAAAGUCUCUCAGAAGAUGCAAAAAAGAAAAACAAAUCAAACAGAAAGGAGGAUGAUGUCAUGGCCUCAGGAACUGUUAAACGACACCUAAAAUCAUCUGGAGAAAGUGAACGAAAAAAUAAGAAAUCCUUGGAGUUAUCCAAAGAAGACCUUAUACAGCUACUCAGUAUAAUGGAAGGAGAGUUGCAGGCCAGGGAGGAUGUGAUCCACAUGCUGAAGACAGAGAAAACCAAGCCUGAGGUUCUGGAGGCUCAUUAUGGGUCUGCAGAGCCAGAAAAAGUGCUGCGAGUCCUGCACCGAGACGCCAUCCUAGCCCAGGAGAAGUCUAUAGGAGAAGAUGUAUAUGAGAAACCGAUUUCAGAGCUGGACAGACUUGAGGAGAAACAGAAGGAGACGUACCGGCGCAUGCUAGAGCAGUUGCUGCUGGCGGAGAAGUGUCACCGGCGCACGGUGUACGAGUUAGAGAGCGAGAAGCACAAACACACUGACUACAUGAACAAGAGCGACGACUUCACCAACCUGCUGGAGCAGGAGCGGGAGAGGUUGAAAAAGCUCCUUGAACAAGAAAAGGCUUACCAAGCCCGAAAAGAAAAGGAAAAUGCUAAGCGGCUCAAUAAACUAAGAGAUGAGCUUGUGAAACUGAAGUCCUUUGCACUCAUGCUGGUGGAUGAAAGGCAAAUGCAUAUUGAGCAACUUGGCCUCCAGAGCCAGAAAGUACAGGAUCUUACUCAGAAACUGAGGGAAGAAGAAGAAAAGCUCAAAGCCAUCACUUCCAAAUCCAAAGAAGACAGACAGAAACUGCUCAAGUUAGAAGUGGAUUUUGAACACAAGGCUUCGAGGUUUUCCCAAGAGCAUGAAGAGAUGAACGCGAAGUUGGCCAAUCAAGAGUCUCACAACAGGCAACUUAGGCUCAAGCUGGUUGGCUUAACUCAGAGAAUUGAGGAGCUGGAAGAGACCAACAAAAACCUCCAAAAGGCAGAGGAAGAACUUCAGGAAUUAAGAGAUAAAAUUGCCAAAGGGGAAUGUGGCAACUCCAGCCUGAUGGCAGAAGUGGAAAAUCUCCGUAAGCGUGUGCUUGAAAUGGAGGGUAAAGAUGAGGAGAUCACUAAAACUGAAUCCCAGUGCCGGGAAUUGCGGAAGAAGCUGCAAGAGGAGGAACACCACAGCCGCGAGCUCAAACUUGAAGUGGAGAAGUUACAGAAGAGAAUGUCUGAACUGGAGAAACUGGAAGAAGCAUUUAGCAAGAGUAAAUCUGAGUGUGGCCAGCUCCAUUUAAAUCUGGAGAAAGAGAAGAACUUAACCAAAGACCUGUUGAAUGAACUGGAGGUGGUCAAGAGUAGAGUUAAAGAACUGGAAUGUUCUGAAAGUCGAUUGGAAAAGGCUGAAUUAAGUCUAAAAGAUGAUCUUACAAAGUUGAAGUCAUUUACUGUGAUGCUGGUUGAUGAAAGGAAAAAUAUGAUGGAAAAAAUAAAGCAAGAGGAGAGAAAAGUGGAUGGACUCAAUAAAAAUUUUAAGGUGGAACAAGGAAAGGUUAUGGAUGUAACUGAAAAACUAAUUGAAGAAAGCAAGAAGCUUUUAAAACUGAAAUCUGAAAUGGAGGAAAAGGUGUAUAAUUUGACAAAAGAAAGAGAUGAGUUAAUAGGUAAACUGAAAAGUGAAGAAGAAAAAUCCUCUGAAUUAAGCUGCAGUGUUGACUUAUUAAAGAAGAGACUUGAUGGGAUAGAGGAAGUGGAAAGAGAAAUAACAAGAGGAAGGUCUCGGAAGGGUUCUGAACUCACCUGCCCAGAAGAUAACAAGAUUAAGGAACUAACACUGGAAAUUGAGAGACUGAAGAAACGCCUUCAACAGCUGGAGGUGGUUGAGGGGGAUUUGAUGAAGACAGAGGAUGAGUAUGAUCAGCUGGAGCAGAAAUUUAGAACUGAGCAGGACAAGGCCAAUUUCCUCUCCCAACAACUGGAGGAGAUAAAGCACCAAAUUGCCAAGAAUAAGGCAAUUGAGAAAGGCGAGGCCGUGAGUCAGGAAGCAGAGCUGAGACACAGGUUUCGGUUAGAAGAGGCCAAAAGUCGAGACCUAAAAGCUGAAGUCCAAGCUCUUAAAGAGAAGAUCCACGAAUUAAUGAACAAAGAAGAUCAGCUUUCUCAACUCCAAGUGGAUUAUUCUGUCCUUCAACAAAGGUUUAUGGAAGAAGAAAAUAAGAACAAAAACAUGGGGCAGGAGGUCCUCAAUCUGACCAAAGAGUUGGAGCUUUCUAAGCGGUAUAGCCGAGCUCUUAGGCCCAGUGUGAAUGGAAGAAGAAUGGUGGAUAUUCCGGUGACGUCGACUGGAGUGCAGACGGAUGCUGUCAGCAGUGAGGCAGCAGAAGAAGAAACACCAGCAGUAUUUAUACGGAAAUCCUUUCAAGAAGAAAAUCAUAUCAUGAGUAACCUUCGACAGGUGGGAUUGAAGAAACCUAUGGAACGAUCCUCGGUACUAGACAGGUAUCCUCCAGCAGCCAAUGAGCUCACUAUGAGAAAGUCUUGGAUUCCAUGGAUGAGAAAAAGGGAAAAUGGGCCCCCAAUCACUCAUGAGAAAGGGCCUCGAACAGAUGCCAGUCCAGGGCACCCAGGAGAGCUGGUCCUUUCGCCAAAACAAGGCCAGCCCCUGCAUAUUCGAGUGACCCCAGACCAUGAGAAUAGUACUGCAACUUUGGAAAUAACCAGCCCGACGUCUGAGGAAUUUUUUUCUAGUACCACCGUCAUUCCUACCUUAGGGAAUCAGAAACCAAGGAUAACCAUUAUUCCAUCACCAAAUGUUAUGUCUCAAAAGCCAAAAAGCGGAGAUGCUACUCUUGGCACAGAACGAGCCAUGUCCCCAGUCACGAUUACUACAUUUUCUAGAGAGAAGACCCCAGAAGGUGGAAGAGGUAUGUUUGCAGACAGGCCCACAUCCCCCAUUCAGAUAAUGACAGUGUCUACAUCGGCAGCACCAGCUGAGAUGGGAGUCUCUCCGGAAUCCCAGGAAAUGCCCAUGGGAAGGACUGUCUUCAAAGUCACCCCAGAAAAACAGACUGUUCAAACUCCUCUACGGAAAUAUAAUUCCAAUGCCAAUAUCAUAACCACAGAAGACAAUAAAAUUCACAUUCAUUUAGGUUCUCAGUUUAAACGAUCCCCUGGGACUUCAGCUGAAGGAUCGAGUCCAGUUAUUACUGUCCGACCUGUCAAUGUGACAGCUGAAAAGGAAGUUUCCACUGGUACGGUCCUUCGCUCUCCUAGGAACCAUCUCUCGUCAAGACCUGGCGCUAGCAAGGUGACGAGCACUAUCACCAUAACACCGGUCACAACUUCAUCUACUCGAGGAACCCAGUCAGUGAAGAUCACUGGAGGCUCGAGGUCCUGGGACUCAUCAACACAUGGGGUGACAACUGAGGUGAUCAUCAAGUCAGGACAAGACGGGUCAUCCCAGCGACCUACCCCCACCCGCAUUCCUAUGUCAAAAGGUAUGAAAGCAGGAAAGCCAGUAGUGGCAGCCCCAGGAGCAGGAAAUCUGACCAAAUUCGAGCCUCGAGCUGAGACUCAGUCUAUGAAAAUAGAGCUGAAGAAAUCUGCGGCCGGCAGCGCUACCUCUCUCGGAGGGGGGAAGGGCUGAGGGCAGUGGCUGAGGGGGUAUGUCGUGCCAAUGCUCCUGCUGCCAUGAACACCGACCUUCAUCUGUUUGUGCCACCUCCUUACGUGCACUAACCUCCGUUUUAAAGAUCUUGUUUAUAAAGUAAUCCACUAAUAGCCAUGUGUCUUUCCUAUUUUGUAAAUGUGUUUCGAUGCCAGAGAAAAGAACGAACUAGCAGAACUGCUGCUUGCUGGCUGCUCUGUUGAGGAUGCCGGGCCUGGGGCAGGGCUGACUUCUAGUCCCAUUAUUGCUUCUAGAAAGUGGGCCCGGCGGGUAGCCCGCCUGAGCCUCGGUCUCUUGAUGUCAGUAAGAUAUGGGGGCUGGGUCUCAUCCUCUCCAGAGCCAGAUCCCAUAUUUCCUAAUUGUAAAUCAAAUUUAAUAGGCCUUGUUCCACAAGAAUUGAUUUUUCAGAAAUUCUAUUAUGAAAUAGGAAAUAGCUUAACAGUUGUCAUUUGCCUCUAUUAAAUCCCGAAUUUGCUUCAUGUGCUGGAAAAAAACAUCUCCUAGCUAUCACAGGGCCUGGACCCUUAAAGUUUUGCAAAAACAAAAGCCUCUGGGAUGAUUUCAGGAAAUAAUUUGAAUGUGAAAUAAAAUGGAAAUGAAAUAUGGAUUCCUAAAAACAGAGUUUUACUUAUUUGUGUGUGUCUGUGUGUAUUAUAGGGGUUUUGGCCAUCUCCAAAACAUUCCCAGAAUUUUAUGGACAAUAAUUUUUGAACCAUUAAUGUCAAACUCAUGCUCUAUUCAAGUGUGCAAUUGAUUUAAAUUAUGGAGCCGUUUGAAUAGAGCUGCCAAAUGGCCCUUCUACCCAUUACAACCUCAACCAAGGUUGUAAUGGAUAGAAAAUAGAAGAAAGUAAUUGGGAUACAUUAACGCCAAGAAAAAAAAUGACAUCAUGCAUAGCUUAAUUGAAUUCAAAUAUUUUCCUCAGUUGAGUGUGGACUUUACUUGGAAAUAUAGAACUAGUUCAUGAGUGUGUGUGUGUGUGUGUGUGUGUGUGUGUGUGUGGUGUGGUGUGGUGAAGUGAAUUAUUAUUCCUGUCAGUUUUACUUAUCUUUGUAUCAUUUUCAUUCAUUUCAAGCAUGUUUUAAUAAGCAUGAAACUGUGAAUGCAAAAUGCCAGGUGUCUUUGUGAGAUUAACCAUGUUAUUGAAGUGGACAUUGUGCUUCCUGUCAAAUAACCACAAAUGAGCUCAAGGCUAAUAACCCGCAGCUUAGCAUCUGAGAUCUCGUGUAGGCAGCACCUUUGUCAAAACUCUUAAGCCAAUUGAGUGAACUUUAUAAAAAUACAAUAACUACAAAGUUACAGGUUGUUAUUUUUCCACUUCUGAAUUGUGAGAAUUCCAAGAUUAUUUGGAUAGUCCCUGCCUCUGAUAUUUGGGGAAAGAUAGUUGUUCUUUAAAAAAAAAAAGAUAGUUGUUUUUUUUUAAAAAAAAAAUAUGAUUUAGCUUUAAUCAUCAAAUCAUCAAGCUUUGUGAUAAAGAGGCUCUUCUCUGAGUUCUUUCCACACUGGAUUUCCUAGCUCUUGUAGAACUUGGACUUCAAUCGGAUAUGACGGUGGUGGAUGCCUUGCAGAAUUCAUAUUCUUUUUAAUCAGGUCUCUAUUGCCUACAGCUCAUCAGUUCUCAGCAUAUGUAUUAAGAGAUGUUGAAUAACCGUAGGAGACAUGCUAUAAUAGUGGGAUUUCAAGGUAGAAGGAGAGAGACUGAGAAAAAAGAUUUUAUAAAAUGUGAUUUUGAACAAGUGUAAACAAGAGAUCUUUCCAUUUCCAAUAUUGACUUGCCUAUUUUUAAGAGGAAAUUUUCCCCUUUUGUAAAGUACACAUCCAUCCCUUGGACAAACAAAGACAUUCUCUGUUUUUCAAAUGCCUCCUUGGCAUUGAGAGUAUUUAGUGCUACUGUGAUGUAACAUACUGUAUGUGAGCAGUGUCAAAAGAAGGAGACACUGUGCUCCUCCUGACUCUACCUGUCAUUCUCCAGUGACUUUUAUCACAAUCUAUUGUCACCGCUGCUGUCUUUUGCUGUUCCCUGCUCACAACAUGCUUAUGUCGUUUCUGCCGGGAAGUCCAUACCAUCUGCAGGGAGAGUGCUCUGAGGGGCUGAACAGUGCGUGUACAGGAUGUUUAUACAUCUGGAUGCUGGAAGAGAGCCACCUACGAAGUACAACUGCUAAGAGAACUUGGCAGAGCAACACAUAUUCACUUUUCAGAAAUGGUAAAGAGCAGCCAUGGCAGUUUUUCUUUGUAAUUUUAGAACCAACUCUACAUUUAUUGGAUAGCUUUGGUUUAAACCACAUAUUGGAAAUGAAAUCCACUGGGGAUAGGAAGUGGAGGAUUAAAUGCACUCCAAUUCCAGCUUCUAAUUGUGAGGAUGAUGUUUUCGUGAUGCAGCUUAAUGUGCUUUUAUAAGAGUGAAUGGGAUUAAAAGCUAGAGUCUUUUCCCUGUCCUGGAACAUAGCAUCGUGCAGUAAAAGGGCUCACCAAGGCUGCUGUGUAUAGCUGUUGCUCAGGUCCCACCCAAGGCAGGGGAGGGAGGGCCAUUUCCAUAGAUUUCAAUGGGGUGGCUCCCCCUGGGGGUGUGCAGGGCAUAAUCUGUAGGCUACAGAAGCCCUGGGCUUCCCCUCCAGAGAGGAAUUUUCAUGGGUUGACUAUUUCAGCACAGUAUGGUGGUGGCCAUUUAGCAUGUGUGGUACGAGAAGUGUUCCUGUAUGGGACAUGACCCUAAGGGUGUUUAUCCUUUCUUGAAAAUAACCUUCCUGUCUAGGUCACUUGCUUAAACAGAGUCCUUCGGUUUCUACUGGCAUUUUUAUUAUGUUUUCAAUGAGGGCAAGCGAAUGGGUGGCAACUAGACUCUAGAGAUGUUCGUGUAUUCAUUAAGGGUAGGUCUUACUAGAUGUCUCACUUGAACGUCUUCAAGAAAGAAGGGAAGGGAUGCCUUUGAUGUGUAGUGUGGGAAGAGUGUAGCUUCAGGGAAAUGAAAACAUGUCCAAGAAUAUAGGAUGUACAAAGAUUUGAAUUUCUCAUUCCCUCAGAGAUUUGGAACACUGAGGAAAGCAUGAGACUUUCCUGAUCAGAAAAGCCCCAGGGACAUUAGAUAAGAAGAAGGCACUUAGGUGGGAGGCUGGAGGGCAGAGAGAAAGGAAGAGGUAACAGGUUGGGCACAGAGGGGCUUCCCAGUAAACAGGAACAUACAAUUCCAAAAUUUCCCCAACCUGGAUGAAGUUCAGUGUUGCCCUCCUACCUCCUCCUCCAUCCUCCAGGGUCUCAUGAUUGCUUAUGUUCUCAUCCUCGGCUAUUUCAGUUUCUCCUUUUUAUCUGACUAGUUGCACACAGGAUAUAAAUGUGCUCCGGACUCUUCCAUUUGAGCACAAUUCCUCCCUCAGCUGCUCAGUCCUCUCUAGGGGCUGCCGGUUAAGCCACGGACAGAACACUUGACCUUUUCUGCCUCCACUUCUACAUUUCCAUUUAUUCUUCAACUUGCUCUUUAAAUUUUUAUUAAAUACGGAGUUAAACUAUCAGCCAGCACUAAAAGAAAAUGAAAACAGCUGUUCCUGAUCUCACCCCUCUUUUCCCUCAGUCUGACUCCCAGGAGAAAAUCAUUCCUAACCCUUAACUGUUUCUUCUGAUAUUUGUCUACAUAUUUCUAAAUAAUAUACUUGUACUCUUUAUUUAUCAAUCAUUAUUUUUUUCAAAAAAGAUUUUAUUUGUUUAUCUGAGAGAGAGAGAGAAAGAGAGAGCACGAAGUGGGGGGAGGGGAGGAGGGAGAGGGAGAAGCAGACUCCCUGCUGAGCAGGACCCUGAGAUCAUGACCUGAGCAGAAGGCAGACGCUUAACACCGAGGUACCCCUUUCCUUUAUGUUUUGAUGGUUGAGGAUGUAGCACUCUCGCAUGUCCCCUCUUUCCCUUUUCCCCAUCCUCCCAAUAUGAUUACAACACAAAUUUUUUGAUAAAUCAUCAGUCAGCAUUUAUAUAUUUAUAAGUUUACAGUGUAAAUUUAAAUGUUGUUCCCUGUUGGGGUGCCUGGCUGGCUCAGUUGGUGGAGCUCACGACUCUUGAUCUUGGGGUUGUGGGUUCAAGAUCACGUUGUGGGUAGAGAUUACUUAAAAAUAAAAUCUUAAAAAAAAUAAAAAAAUAUUGUUCCUGCUGAGCCAAAUAGUAUACCAUGUUUGUGUUCCCUUCCUCUUACUCCUUUCACCCUUCAAUAGAAUAAGUAUUGUAAUUUUUCAUCUGCUUGGUUUUCUAUGUAUCUAUCUUUAUUUUUUCCAAAUGCUCCAAUAGAUCUGCCAAACACCUAUCAGUAAUUUUUCCAAACACUUAAAUACGUCAGUUUCUUAUUUUUACCUGGAGGCUUUCCUAGUUCAGCUCCUUAGUUUCCUAUGUUAGCCCUCUGCUUCCCUACUUAGUCUGGACUGGUCAUGCUCUAGGCCAGGUAAGGCUCUUGUCCUAUUGUUCUUUUGCCUAAGUUGAAUCCUCUGUUCCCUGGAUUUCUUCUUCUACUUCUUUUGCUUACACACCUGUCUGUAUAUCUAUCUCUCUUGAAGUACAUUUGACCCCUGAAUAACAUGGGAGUUGAUGGUGCUAACCCCCAGCACAGUGUAAAUUUUGACUCCCCCAAAACUUAACUACCAAGAGCCUACAGUUGACUGGAAGGCUUACCAAUUGCAUACACAGUCAAUUAACACAUACAUCAUAUGUUACAUGUAUUAUAUAUUGUAUUCUUACAGUAAAGUAGAGACAAUAAAAUAUUAAGAAAAUCACAAGGAAGAUAAAGCACAUUUAUAGUAUAUUUGUAUACUGUAUUUAUUGAAAACAAUACUGUAUUUAUUGAAUUACUGUAUUUAUUGUAAACAAUCCACAUAUAAAUGGACCUGCACAGUUCAAACUUAUGUUGAUCAAGGGUCAACUAUAUAUCUUUUAGGAGUUUCUAAAGAAAAAAAUCCUUCAGUAACUUCCUUGGGGUGGGCUACCUGUAUUCUGGGGAUAGAUCAAGGGAAGUGAGAUGGAGAAUCUUACAGUAAAGUGUGCAAACAUUUUUAUUCCCCUGCACUCAGUCUAUGCUGACCAUUCAUAUACUUGGGUCUAGUAGAACUGCUUAGGUCAGUUUUUUUGUUUGUUUGUUUUUCCUGGAAAAAUAAACCCUGGGUCUCUGGUAAGGGUGACUAAGACAUCUAAUCUCUUUUGGUUUUCCUUUGAUCUCUCUGACCGCUCCACCUUGGUCUCCCUUGCUGACACCUUAUUUUAUGCAUACAAUCUAAGGGUCACUGUUCCCCUCAUCUCUGCCAGUUACCUACACUACACGCUCAUUUUAUGCACUCCCAUAGCUUCAAUUAUCACCCAUAUGUUGAUGGCUACCAAUCCUCUAUCUCCAACUUUGUACUGUAUAUCUCCAACUUAACUUGUCUAAAAGCAGUUCUCAACACCUCCUCCAACCCUCGUCAAGUCUUCUCCUCCUCUUACUAUUCUGCAUCUCAGCAAGGGUAUCCUGAUCUACCCAAUCACCCAAGCAAGAAGCCUGGUAGCCAUUUUAGGCCUCUCCUCCUCCUUCACCUGUCAAGUCCACUCAUCAAGCAAGUCUCAUAGUCUAACCCCCUAAUGCCUCUAUCAGCUGAACCCACAUCUCCAUUUUCCUUGCUACUGCCUGAGUUGAGGUUUUAAUUACUUCUCAUCUGGAUUACUCCAAUAUGCCCCCUAAUUGGUCUCAUAAUCUCUAGCCUCAAAACUCUCAGAUUCAUUCUUCAUUUUGUUUUCCAAAGUUCAAAUUGAUUGUAUCACUCCCCUAUUUGAAAACCCUCCAAAGGUUCCUCAUUACCUAUAGAACAUAGCACCAACUCCUCCAUAUGGCCCUUGAGGCUCUCUGUGACUGGGCUCUCUCUCUCUCCCUGCUCUAUGAGCAUCCCUCCCCUUUCCUUUUCCGUGCCUGGACUCCUGCCCCCCAAGCAGACCGAAUGGCUUGCAUACCAGGCCAGGUCACCUUUCCUUGACUUGUUCACUUUGUCCCUUCUCCCUACUUUUCCUUCUGGUGGUUGUGUCUAUCUCUGUUCAAAAUUUCUUUCAAAAACCUUGUCUCUACUAGAGAGAAAAGCCAUUAUUUCACAAUCUAACCUGGGGUUUAAAGCCUGUCUGUUUCUGUAAAAAACUUGGCACUUACUGUAGAGAAAGAAAACCAGAACUUGAAGGAUGGCUGGAGGCUAGAGAAGAAAGAGUUAUUCUCAUUUCUCGCUUCCUCCCUUUGUCUGCAAUGCAAACCUGUGAGAAUGAUGUGGAGGGUCCUGACAAAUCAUGCGUGGGAACAUGGAAAUAAAAAGAUGGUAAAAUUAGAGGAAAUUCACGUAUCACCAUUCUGGAUAGUGUAAGUUACAUCUUUCCCUUCCAAGGCACUAUAGGCCCAUAAUGGGUGCAGAACAGCCAGGGAUCCUGGACUGAGGAGUUGUCAUCUCUGAAGCCAUCACAUAUGUGGAGAACUAAGGGGGUUGAGAGCUUUCUGUGACAUACAAACAUACUUGAAUGAAUUAUGAAUUGCUCUUUCCUCACCCUCUUUAACUCCCCUGGAGGGACAUGAAAGACACUUCUGGAAAGAGAAAAUUUCAAGUGAUUUAUCAUGCUCUUCAGGUUCAUGAAGGACCUUCUACAAUAGGUCAGGGGGCACCUGGGUGGCUCAGUCGGUUAAACGUCUGACUCCUGGUUUUGGCUCAAGUCAUGAUCUCAGGGUCGUGGGAUCAAGCCCUGCAUCAGGCUCCAUGCUCAGUGAGGAGUCUGCUUGAGAUUCUCUGUCUCUGCACCUUCCCCCCACCCUGCUCACAUGCUCUCUCUCUCUCUCAAAUAAAUAAAAUCUUUUAAAAAAAAUAGGUCAGGAGAGGCUCUUGUUUUGAAAAACCAAACACCACCACCAAUAAGCAGACUUCAGAUUUAGGAUAGAUAUUAAGGUGAACAUCCAGAGAAAGUGGAUUGCUGAACAAUGCCUAGAUACCUGAGCUAGAACUGAAAACCAGGAGACCAGAGUAAGGUUGUGUGACCUUUGGCAAAUCGCCUUACUUUGACUUAUGGUUUAGCAUUUAGCUAUAACCUUUUAUGAUUCUGGCAUUCCUCCUUAUAGUCAUAAUAUGAUAGGCUUCACUAUUUAGUAAGCAACUUAAAACAUUCUACCAUAACACUUUUCCUAAGAACUAGUAAAUAAUUGCUUAUCUGGCAAAUAUAGUUUUGGCCUCUCUACGUGUGCUAAUGUUAUGUAUGUAUGAUGGUCAGAAUUGCAAAAUCAAGGGCUGGUAACAGCUGAACCAGACUUUAGAGGUCAAGAAGAUAAUUAUCUCUCUUAUUAAAGAUGAAAACAAAACCAAGACCAAGAACAAAACAAGAAAGCCCCAAGGCUUAGAGAUGUCUAACCAUCUUACUAAUGAUGAUGCCAGAUUUUCUGUACAUUACUCAUUAUUUCAUAUGAUGAAACAACUUCAGAAAGCAUCGUCAUUCACCAGUUACGUAUGAACUCCAGAUGAAAUGGUAAACCAAGCACAUACUGGGUGUGUGUACUUCCUCUGAAUCCCUGUUAAAUGAGUAGUAUUUCUACAGCCCUCCAUCAUCACUAAGGUCCUCCAUGCUACUGAUCACUACUGGAAAUAAUUUUCUACUUCCAGUGAUUUUUUUUUUUUGAGGAUAUAAUAAUGUAAAAGCUGAAAAUGGCAUUGCUGAUAAUAUGAAAAUAGGUAGCAAGAGCAAUUCAAUCUUUGUGUCAAAAUAAAUUUCUCUUCCUUUUACAAAGCUUUUAGGUUCAUGGGCACAUGCUAUGUAAUUUAUUUUUAUAAUACACUUUAUAAUGUGAUUUUUUUCCUAACGUGUUUCCUUUUUCAUAGUCUAUGGCACAUAUAUCUAUAGAGUACACUGUCAGUUCUUCAAAGUAUUGGUACUGGUGCAUUCAAAACGGGAACCUAUCAUUAUUUUCCUUCAUCACUUUUUUAUUUCUGAGGGAAAAGAAAGUACAACACUCUGCAUAUUUCCCGGGGUAAAUUCAGGAGAUAAAACAGAAGCAGGAGAUUCUAGAAGAGGUUUUAUUAUUGUUUGUACAAUGCUGUGAUUCUGAUCAUGGUUCAACAGUAAUAAAUAAUGUUGAUGUAAGAGUUUAAUUUUAAAUACGUAAAGCCAGUUUUUAAAGUUGCCCUAUCUAGUGUUCUGUGCCAAAACCCCUGGAUAAAUUGAAUUUCAUAUGGAACAAAUUAAUAAAAGGAGAUAUGUAAGUUUAACCAGUAAGGGUUAUGGGAAUAGCUUCGACUGAGAGUUCAAUUAUAUUUCUGUGUGCAUUGUUUGCUUAUAUGUACAAGACUUAUAAUAAGGACUGUGUAUCAAGAUAUUUCUCACAAUCUGCCCAAAUGAAAGCCCAAAAAAUAAAAAACUGACCUAGGUAAUAUCUGCAUCUUUCAAAAAAAAAAUGGUAAGAGAAAUCCCAUGAUAGAUAACAUUUUUUUUCUUAAUAGACAGGAUUUGGAUAGAUUUUCAUAACAGCAUGUAGGUUGCAGAAUAUAUUCUUUAAAGAUAAAAGCACAACAUGCAAUACUCAACUCUCAGCAUCAGAGCUGCUGUUGAAUUUAGGUUUAUAUGAAAAUGUGCAUCUAAAGUCUACUUGAAACCCUAAUAACACAGGUUUUUAAAAAGACUUUGCUAAUGUGGACAUGUUUUCAAUAAGGUCUUUAAAAAGAUAACUUUAAAGAUAAAUGAAGAGUUGACAUAUCAGUUUCUGAAUGCAGAAAUCAUAUAUGAUGGAACUUUACCAAGAUUAAAGAAAAUGCUUCUGAGUGUCACAUGGAUAACUGAAAACCAAGCAAGUAACACUGUUGGCCCAUUUCUCCAGCUGACAGUUUGUAUUCAGGUUACAAACCCAUAGAGACAAGUCUACAUUGAGUCUCUGGAAUAGAAAAAUUAAUUGAAUGUCCUCUCCUAUGUAACUUUGGAAGGUUUUAAGUUAUACUUUGUGGAAUUAGCAAUCAUAUUUGGCAGAUUAUAAAUUAACUAUAUUUUAUGGAAAAUUAGUUUGAUUUUGUAAGUAAAAGAAAUGCUACAGUAGGCUUGUCCUAGCUUGAAUGAUUGUCGAUGUAUCACAUAUCUUUCAGGGGUUUUGAUUAAUGAUUAAGAAAACUAGAGUGUGUAUGUGUGAAAAUUUAAAAAAUUGUUGCUAUGAGUUUUGUUUUCUGAAAAUGUUUCUGAACUGUAAUGACAUUUUCAAGUAGAAAAGGGUUUUUAUCUUGUAUUGUUAUCUUUUUUGACACACAGUUAAGUUCCCUGUUUGCCUAUGUUUAUACUUCUGAUGGCAAAAUAUUCUGAUAAAUCACAAAUUAGCAUUUGAAGAAAAUAGCUUUUUCUCAACUUCUGGGAAUUUUAGUACAUGAAUAGUGAAAAGGCUAGAGGAUAAGACUUUACUUCUUGACUUUAAGAUAUUACAAGUGAUUUAUGUCUAUUUGGAUCUGAAGCUUUUAUUUCUCUUGAAUUUGUAAUGAAAUUUGGUACUUGCAAUGCAGAGUAAGGAUGGUGGUGCUAUCUGAGUCACUUAGAUGGAUGCUGAGCUUUUUUCUGCUCAUGCUGGGAUUAAGUCCUCUGUUUAAACCCAAAUGGAAUCUGAGUGACAAAUGAGUAAAAUUAAUAAAGAAUAAAAAGUUAAUUGUUCUGAAAUAAAAGAUUAAAAAUUAACAGAAAAGUGAAAACACCAAAUAGUUAUAUCCUUACCUAAUGAAUAAACAAACAAGAUCAUAAAUAGUCCUAUCCCAAUAUCCACAUCCAAUUGAAAAAACUGCCUCCAUGUGCAAUCCUGGCACCAUCCUAGACUCACAUAAUUUCUGUAUCUUUUAUUAUAAGUAAAUCUCCAAUCACCAGUAUGAAAGGGAAUCAGUUUUGAAUGGAAUAAUUAUAUUUUCUGAAAUGAUUCCAGUUUAAGGUACAACAGCUGAACUAAUCCAUUAUUUUGCCCCUUUCUUUCUGAUAAGAGAGUAUUUUUUGAGGUAUCUUCUGCAGAUUUUUUUCAAGUAUUUCAUAAAAUUUUAGGGCUUGAUGAAGAUAGUGGAUACAUUUUCCAGAUGUUAGAUGCCUAGAAUGUUCACAAAGUGUGAAGAAUUAAUUGUCUCUUAGGACAGCCACACACACAAAAAAUUCAUGAUGUAGAAUUACUAGCUUAAGCAUUAAAAAAGAUACCGGCGCUAUUGAAAUAAUUCACAGGUUCUAAAAAUCAGUGGCAGAGCAAGAAUAAAUGUUGGAUCACACAAUGCAAUAUGUGUAUAUCCUUUCUCUUUAUGCUGUGGUUGAAUUUUCCUGGAAAUGAAUAAAAAACAUAGCAAGAGUUGGGCGUGUUCAUGAAUUUGAUGAGCAAUAGUUCUAAAAAUAACAAAAAUGCAAAAUGGGAGUUAAAAACAGCAACAACAACACAAACUGGCACUUGAGGCAUAUAUCCACCUUUGGACUCCAGCGCUA